GCGAAUAUCAUAAAUAUCAUCUCUAUUAUAAUUAUUUUAUAAAAUACAACUAAAAAAAUGUCACUAACCUUUUCAACAAAUCAUUCUCUAAUAACAAACUCAUUCAUCUAUAAUUGUUUUAAAUUUUCGUGAAUGGUCUACUGUUUAAAUUUUUAGGCCGAAUCAAUUUCUAUGAAUUGCACUUGAGUACCAAAAUUGUGUUAAUUUCCAUAAUAAUACAAACCUUCACACCAUAUCUUCAACCCUCCUUUUAUGCAACCAUUUGAAUUCUGCAGAUUGGGUCCAAGUGCUAAGAUUAGGUUGUCCUUCUCUUCUAAACUAUAGCCUAUAAUGUAUAAAUACCAGGAUUUUCCAUAUUUGUGUGGCGGAUU
rnacentral:lncRNA from 1 species